AUGGAUCCGGUGCUGCGGGGUGCGGCGAGCCUCGGUGGCGGCCAUGGCCAAGGUGGCACGGGAGGAGGAGGGGGAGGGGGAGGCGAGGCGCACUACAGGGGCGUGAGGAAGCGGCCGUGGGGACGGUACGCGGCCGAGAUCCGCGACCCGUGGAAGAAGACGCGGGUGUGGCUGGGCACCUUCGACACCCCCGUGGAGGCCGCCCUCGCCUACGACCGCGCCGCGCGAACCCUCCGCGGCGCCAAGGCCAAGACCAACUUCCCCGACCACGCCCACCACCACCACCACCGCCCGCCUAUGCAGCAGCCUGUUCCGUUCGGCGGCGUCGACCUCAACUUCCCUUCGCCGUGGCACUUCGUCUACUUCUCGCGGCCGCCGGCCGCGCCGGCGCCCCGUCUUCCGCAAGAAGCGUCUCCAGCGGUCUCCGUCCCGCCGUCGACGGCGCUCGAGCUCGGCGUGGCGCCCGGGCCCGCCGGCCUCCCGUUCGACCUCAACGAGCCGCCGUCGCUGCUGUUCGGGUCGUGA
rnacentral:rRNA from 1 species